rnacentral:lncRNA from 1 species
AAAAGUAGUUAUCAUCCUUAGUAUAGGAGUUGGUAUCUCGGGGUAGUAUAAAGAAAAUGGGAGGGAGGAAGAAAAUGCCAGAUUGUAAUAGUCAUGAGCCGAGGAUAAGCUUGGUGCUAUCUCUUCUUCUUAAUUUUUUUGUUUCUUUUGUGUUAGUGUUGAUUCUAGUGAAGAAAAUCGAUUUAGUGAAUCAUUGUUUGAUUUAUGAAGUUGUUUAUGGAUCA